CCUACGGGUGGCAGCAGUGGGGAAUAUUGCACAAUGGGCGCAAGCCUGAUGCAGCCAUGCCGCGUGUGUGAAGAAGGCCUUCGGGUUGUAAAGCACUUUCAGCGGGGAGGAAGGCGGUGAGGUUAAUAACCUCAUCGAUUGACGUUACCCGCAGAAGAAGCACCGGCUAACUCCGUGCCAGCAGCCGCGGUAAUACGGAGGGUGCAAGCGUUAAUCGGAAUUACUGGCGUAAAGCGCACGCAGGCGGUCUGUCAAGUCGGAUGUGAAAUCCCCGGGCUCAACCUGGGAACUGCAUUCGAAACUGGCAGGCUAGAGUCUUGUAGAGGGGGGUAGAAUUCCAGGUGUAGCGGUGAAAUGCGUAGAGAUCUGGAGGAAUACCGGUGGCGAAGGCGGCCCCCUGGACAAAGACUGACGCUCAGGUGCGAAAGCGUGGGGAGCAAACAGGAUUAGAUACCCUAGUAGUC
rnacentral:rRNA from 1 species